AUGGUGGUGGUGAUGCCUAUGAAUAGGGGUGACAUACGAACCGGAGGAACAAAAAUCAAGACGUUAUUAUUUUUUUCUUUUCAUUUUAUUUUAAUCAUGUCUCACAAAUCUAUUAAUUGGAAGGGGAUAAACACUCUUUUAUCGGAUAUCAUAAAGAUAGAUGUUAGAGUAGUCGUAUUUUAUUGUACUAAGAUAAUAAUUAUAAUAUUGUAUAAAAAUUCAUUCUUCUUUUCAACUCAUUUAUUUCAGUUAUUUUUUCAUAUCUUUUUUUAUAAUUUUUCUAUGUUUUACUCUACCACUAGCACUUUGACAACCCUCAAACCAUCUAAAUAUAGUUUUCACUAUCUUUUCUACUAUAAAUGA